rnacentral:lncRNA from 1 species
ACAUUCUAUCUAUUACAUGCAACUAACUUCAAUACUCUUGCUGACCUCCUGGUCUACCCUGUACCUGCAAACCUGGGGAAUUUGGGAGAGGGGUGAGCUACUAGAGCCCAGUGAGCAGAAUAGUAAAGCAUUUAAAACAUAUGAUAACAUGAAAUGCAUCACAUCACAACUAAUCAUAUCAAGGAUGAACUUGUCACCAUUUAGCCCUCUACAUAUUCCAAUCGUGCCAAGGGCGUAGUGCAGGCCACACCUGGUCUUUCUCUUAUACAUAACAUAACAU